GAGGGUUUUAUAAUUUUCACUUACAAUGAAAAAUACCUUAUGAGGGGCCUUCAU
rnacentral:tRNA from 1 species